rnacentral:rRNA from 1 species
UACAGAGACUGCAAGCGUUACUCGGAUUCACUGGGCGUAAAGGGAGCGCAGGCGGACCGAUGCGUCGGAUGUGAAACCCCAGGGCUCAACCCUGGGACUGCGUCCGAAACUGUCGGUCUAGGGACUCGGAGGGGCUAGUGGAAUUCCUGGUGGAGCAGUGAAAUGCGUAGAUAUCAGGAGGAACACCAACGGCGAAGGCAGCUAGCUGGAAGAGAUCCGACGCUCAGGCUCGAAAGUAUGGGGAGCAAAAAGG